UUUUCCUGUCUUUAAUUCAAAUGCAUUUCUGACAUUUUCUGUGUGAAAAGUAAUUACAAUUUCAACGAAGAGGUAUCGAUCCGAGUCGUUGCCAUUCUGGAUUAGAAUUAUGCCCCUUGGCUUGCACCAGAUGUCGCUACAUUUCGCGCAUGCGCAGUUUUUCGCACCACACAAUUUGAACAAGCUUGAAGACAUCACGACAUCAACGCUACAUAGAAGAAGAAAGAAAGAGACUAUAACAAACUCGCACAGAGUUACAGAAAACGAUGUCUACCUCGAGAUGGGGAAAUUCCUAAAGAACGCCCCUGGACGAUGUGGCGGGGGUGGCAGAUCAAAAGAAUACUGAUGCCCCGAAUUUGUAUUUAUAUGGAAUAUGAAAUGAAUAAACUUGAGUUUACAUCA